UACGUAGGCAGCGAGCGUUGUUCGGAAUUACUGGGCGUAAAGAGUGUGUAGGCGGUGCUCUAAGUCUGUCGUGAAAUCUCCCGGCUUAACUGGGAGGGUGCGGCGGAUACUAUUGUGCUAGAGGGUGGGAGAGGAAAGCGGAAUUCCUGGUGUAGCGGUGAAAUGCGUAGAUAUCAGGAGGAACACCUGCGGUGUAGACAGCUUUCUGGACCACUUCUGACGCUGAGACACGAAAGCGUGGGUAGCAAACAGG
rnacentral:rRNA from 1 species